GUUAGCUGCACCUCUACUCCACGUGUUCCUCCCUUCAGGUCCCAGGCUGAUGGAGUAGCCUCUGUGUGUUUGGGAUGUUGUCAGUCAUAAUGGUGGACACAAAAGAGAUUAUGACAAACCGUGUAUUGUCUCCUACAAUUUCUGCUCACAGAAGUGGACAACAUCACUUCUUUCCACAUUUCAUUGACCAGAGCAAGUCAUGUGACCAAGCCUGAUUCAAAAUAGGCUGGAGCAAGGAGGAGCAGCAAACAUAAAUGACAAAAUUGGGGUCUGGACGUGUGCAAGGACUUUUCCAAAGUCAGCUGGAAAGGAGCUGCUUAGCUGAGAGGUUCUGGCUCCAGAGUCUCCUGUGAAGUUGCAGUCAAGAUGUCUGCUGGGACCCCAGUCAUUUGAAGCCCUGUCUGGGGCAGGAGAAUCUAGGUCCAAAAUGGCCGUUGCAGGAGUCCUUAUCCACACCAUGUGGGACCUCUUCAUAGAUGUUCGAGUGUCCUCAUGGCAUGGCCACUGGCUUUCCCCAAACUUCAAACUAUGCAUAUGGGCCAGGCGCGGUAGCUCAUGCCUGUAAUCCCAACACUUUGGAAGGUCAAGGUGGGCAGAUCAUUUGAGGCCAGGAGUUUGAGACCAGCCUGGCCAACAUGGUGAAACUCCGUCUCUACUAAAAAAUACAAAAUAAUUAGCUGGGUGUCGUGGAGCAUACCUGUAAUCCCAGCUGCUCCGGAGGCUGAGGCACGAGAAUCGUCUGAACCCAGGUGAUUCUGCACUCUACUUGGGCUCUGUCUCAAAACAACAACAACAGCAACAACAAAAACUGUGGUAUUUUUAAUGAACUAAAUAUUAAUCUGCUAACACAGCAUAGGUUUUAUGAUUACUGCAAUUCAAAAGUCAUAAUAAAUUUUAAAACAAAUCCUCCUGUACCUGUUGUGGUGCAUGCAGAAACUUUUCCUGUUCAACACACUUAUAUGGCACUAUAUAGGGAUAUACCAAAUAGCUCAGGUACAUAGUGAAUACAACUUUAACACUUAUAUUGAAAUGCUAAUCUUACUUGCCAAUAUUAGUGGCACAUUAGCAUAAUUUAACUUUUAUAAAAUUAUGGAAAACAGUUUAAAAUUAUUCUCCCUAAUAUUAGCAAAUUGCAUUAAUGGCAUGUACCGUGUGCCAGUUUGUUUCCAAAUAAACAAAAUGUACCUUGAUAUGCCACUUCAGAGCCAGCAGAGGGAGCUCAUACUUUUUUAUUGUUUUCAACUUACUGAAGAAAAUUUGCUUUUAAAAGCUACUGUGUUAUAACCAAUGAGAACCAAGAAAAAGGAAAAAAAAAAAAAAGCUACUGGAUUCUGAAAAAUAAUGUAGUUGUUAUUUAAAUAAUAAAAAUGUAUUAGUAAACAAAAAAGUCAUACUUUAGGUUGAAAUAAUAAAUCAAUUCUAAAUAAAAAGAUAUUAAUGAUAUUUUAUGUAAAAAUGUCAAUUAAAACUACAUAAUUUCAAGGUUUUUUUUUUCUUUUUCUUUUAUUAUAAUUUUUUUAGAGACAAGAGUGUCGCUCUGUCACCCAGGCUGGAGUGCAGUGAUGUGAUCAUAGCUCACUGCAACCUCAAACUCCUGGGGUAAAGCAAUCCUCCUGCCUUAGCUUUCUAAGCAGCUAGGACUACAGAUGCAUUCCACUAUGCCUGGCUAAUUUUAAAAUUUUUUUGUAGAGACAGGGUCUUGCUAUGUUGCCCAGACUAGUCUCAAACUCCUGGCUUCAAACAAUCCUCCCACCUCAGUCUC
rnacentral:lncRNA from 10 species